UGAUUACUUAUUUGAUCUUCAGACAAAUUAUUUUCAGGUGAAACAUUAUUCACCUCUUGCAAACCCUCAUUCAACUGAUUUUCAUCAGAAUUCUACAAGAAAAAAACAGUUAAUGCAAGCACGGUAAUAACCAUAAUAAGCAACAAAGAACUCAGCGUUAACAUAUAUAUUCUGAAUUAAGAACAUACAAACUAAAAUAAAAAAGACAAAUAACAUACCAUAUUGAGCUGAGAAUAGACGAUAAUCGAUUAACUGCAAAAGGAAAACAAAAACAACUAUAAACAACAUAAAAUAACUAGCAAUAAUCAAGUUUCAUAUAUAGAACGUUAUCAUCGCACUAACCUUGGAAUAUAAAAAAAAUACCGAGUAUUGUUUUGCGAAGAAAGUCCAGUGUUUUGAAGAAAAAUUCUAGUCUCAAAAACAAAUAGUGGUUUGAGA
rnacentral:lncRNA from 1 species